AAGACCUUGCGCUUUUGGAGCGGCCGAUGCCUGAUUAGCUUGUUGGUAAGGUAAAAGCUUACCAAGGCUUCGAUCAGUAGCUGGUCUGAGAGGACGACCAGCCACACUGGGACUGAGACACGGCCCAGACUCCUACGGGAGGCAGCAGUGGGGAAUUUUGGACAAUGGGGGCAACCCUGAUCCAGCCAUGCCGCGUGAGUGAAGAAGGCCUUCGGGUUGUAAAGCUCUUUCAGCCGGAACGAAACGGUUACGGUUAAUACCCGUAACUAAUGACGGUACCGGAAGAAGAAGCACCGGCUAACUACGUGCCAGCAGCCGCGGUAAUACGUAGGGUGCGAGCGUUAAUCGGAAUUACUGGGCGUAAAGCGUGCGCAGGUGGUUUUGUAAGUCAGAUGUGAAAGCCCCGGGCUCAACCUGGGAACU
rnacentral:rRNA from 1 species